UUAGUAAUCAUAUUUGCUUGCUAGAGAAUAAAUGUGAUUAGCAGGACAAUAUUGAUUGGACCUACAACUAAAAUAUAUUAAUCCUAUAAGGUCACACAUAUAAGCAUUAAUUGGAAUGGGCCCAAAAGGCCCGAUGGCAACCGGUCUGUUAAGGGAAGAAUGUUGGGCUUUGGUUUUGUGUUAACCUAAAACUCUCACAUUAUAAUAGUUAUAAUGUCAGGGAUUUAGAAAUCACGUUCAUUCAAUAUCUGACAAAAAGGAAAACACAAAAACCCUAAUUCUAAUUCUCUAAACGCCGUACAUCCCAAACAAAGCAAGAGACAGAUUGUGAUCGUUCUCUUCCGUACUAGCAUACGUGGGAUUCAAUUCGUGCUUGUGGACUGAGUAGAGGAGCAACAAGUGGGGCUCUAAGAUCUUCGAAGCUUGCAUACGAACGGGAGAACACGCUUCAAAGGAAUUGGAGGGAGUUUGCGGCAUUUCAGUGACCAGAAAGUGCUGAAGAUCGAGGACGAGGUGAUCGAGGAUGAGGUCAAGAAAAUUCGGCGUGAAUUAGAUGCUGCCAAGGAGAGUUUCCUUAGAAUUCCACAUGCUCUUAAGUCUAUGCCUAAGAUGAAUCCUGAGGAUUUUGACUUGACUUGCAUAGUCGUUGAUCCGUCUGCAAUAUUAGCUGCAAUUGUAACAGCUCUGAAGUCUGAUCAAAGUCCAACUUACAGUCAAAUUACUUGGAUGUCAUUUACUGAUUUGAGAAAUACAUGGAGUGAUUUCCCAAGGCAGUACACAGAGGAAUACGAGCAAUGUAUCGAGACUAUUCUAUCAGCGAAUAAAGGAAGAUUUUUCAAGAGUGCAGGAGAUAUCGUAGAAGUAAGAUUUGCUCAGACCGUAAUGGUUGUAACCUGCGAAUGGGCAUGGUGGCUGAGGCAACAUAUCUGCAUAAGAGAGUCCAUGUUCUAUCAAUGGUCCAAUCAAUGGAUAGCAUUGUGAGGUUGAAGAAGAAGAAAGGAAGCUUGAAGCUGAAGAAACAGAGAAGCAGUGCUCGAAAGUAAACACUGAACUGAAAGAAUAGGAGAUUAAAUCCAACCGUUUUAAAGAGUUGGAGGAGAGGUACUGGAAUGAGUUCAAUAGCUUCCAGUUUUAACUAAUAUCACAUAAGGUUAACCAGCAUGAGGACGAAGAUAAUAGGCGUGUCUUCUUUCAUGGAGAUCUCAACCAACAUCUUUAAAAACGGGAGAUUACCGCCUUUUAACUCGAUUGAUGCAGUGAGGUUUAAAGAGGAGAUAAAAAGGUGUGCGAGAGGUGUUAUGAGAUAUGCAGACUAUUGUAGUAGCUCUUGUGAUCUACAUAAGGAUGGUGGUUUGGUGAAUGUUUUUUCAACUCAAAAUAUGGAAAUGAAGGUGGAAAUCUUUGUGUAAUUGAAUUUUUUUCGCUCAGCGCCUUUUCCCGAGGU